CCCUUAGAUGUUCUGGGCCGCACGCGCGCUACACUGACUGGUGCAACAAGUGUCGCUCCUUGGCCGAUAGGCCUGGGCAAUCUUUGAACGCCAGUCGUGAUGGGGAUAGAUUCUUGCAAUUUUUGAUCUUCAACGAGGAAUUCCUAGUAAACGCGAGUCAUCAACUCGCAUUGAUUACGUCCCUGCCCUUUGUACACACCGCCCGUCGCACCUACCGAUUGAAUGGUCCGGUGAAGCCUCCGGAUUGCACAGGCCCCGUGUCUGGCGCGAGAAGUUGGCUAAACCUUACCAUUUAGAGGAAGGUGAAGUCGUAACA
rnacentral:rRNA from 1 species